rnacentral:rRNA from 1 species
CAACCUCAAAUUAGGUGAGACUACCCGCUAAAUUUAAGCAUAUUAUUAAGCGGUGGAAAAGAAACUAACAAGGAUUUCCAUAGUAGCUGCGAGCGAACUGGAAAAAGCCCAGCACUGAAUCGUUAGUAGAUAAUACUAAUGAAAUGUAGUGUUUAAGAAGGUUUAAAUAUUCCAAAUUAAUUUUAUUUGUUCAAGUUUACCUUGAAUGGGGCCAGUGUCCAUAGAUGGUGCCAGGCCCGUAGUGGCAAAUAAGUUAUUUGGAAAAACCUUUCUUUAGAGUGCAACCUUAAGUGGGUGGUAAACUCCAUCUAAGGCUAAAUAUAACCAUGAGACCGAUAGCAAACAAGUACCGUGAGGGAAAGUUGAAAAGAACUUUGAAGAGAGAGUUCAAUAGUACGUGAAACCGUUUAGGGGUAAACGGAAAAGAACUAAAAAUCCGAAAAGGGAGAUUCACGUCCACACGGUAUUUUGACUUCAAUGAUAUAUGAUGACUAGUGGAUUGUGCCAUGUGUACAUUACUGCUAAUUGCAUUUAUCUUGUUCAACAAGUAACGGUGGACCGCACUUCUCCCUAAGUAGGACGUCGCGACCCGCUAACUUAUAAUCUAUGUGCAAAUUAAAAGUCUGUUCUGAAAUAAUUUUAUAUUAUUCAGUCAGGUGGUUUGUUUUCUGAUUAUAAUUAGUUGGCGGUAUAAAACGGCAGUGGUGAACCGCUUAUAAAGCGUUUAACAAAUGCUAUUUAGUUGUUCUAAUAAUUGAUAAUAAAUGGUUUAUACCUUUAUUUGAUAUAUUGUCAACUAUAUUAGUUUUGAAUUAAACAGUGUUCACAACACUAGUCAGCGGCGCUACAGUUUUAGUAACUUUUCCGACCCGUCGAAACACCCAAGGAGUCUAACAUGUGCGCAAGUCAUUGGGUAUUUAAAACCUAAAGGCGUAACAAAAGUAAAAAAAUCUCUUUGCUUUGUUAGGGAGGAUGGGUGUUUGCAAAAAAUUACUUGCUGCAUCCCGCACUCCCGGGGCGUCUGUUACUCAUUGCGAGUAAAGGCGCACCUAGAGCGUACACGUUGGGACCCGAAAGAUGGUGAACUAUGCUUGACCAGGAUGAAGCCAGGGGAAACCCUGGUGGAGGUCCGUAGCGAUUCUGACGUGCAAAUCGAUCGUCAGAGUUAAGUAUAGGGGCGAAAGACCUAUCGAACUAUCUAGUAGCUGGUUCCCUCCGAAGUUUCCCUCAGGAUAGCUGGUGUCAAUGAUGAGACGAGUCUCAACCGGUAAAGCGAAUGAUUAGAGGCCUUGGGGCCGAAACGACCUCAACCUAUUCUCAAACUUUAAAUGGCUGAGAGCCUUGGCUUGCUUAAAAGUGAAGCCAGGGACUUGGAUCUAAGAUGCCAAGUGGGCCAAUUUUGGUAAUGUGGGAUGAACCAAACGCAGAGUUAAGGCGCCUGAAUCGACGCUCAUGAGACACCAUGAAAGGCGUUUGUUGCUUAAGACAGCAGGGCGAUGGUCCUGGAAGUCGAAAUUCGCUAAGGAGUGUGUAACAACUCACCUGCCGAAGCAACUAGCCCUGAAAAUGGAUGGCGCUGUAGCGUCGUGCCUAUACUCUGCCGUCAACGGCAAAUAGGGUUAAUCAACUUGUUGAUAGCUCUAUUAAGCCUUGACGAGUAGGAGGGUCGCGGCGAUGAGCGUCGAAGGGUCUAGGCGUAAGCCUGCCUGGAGCCGUCGCCGGUGCAGAUCUUGGUGGUAGUAGCAAAUACUCCAGCGAGGUCCUGGAGGACUGUUGUGGAGAAGGGUUUCUUGUGAACAGCUGUUGCACAAGAGUCAGUCGAUCCUAAGCUCUAAGAGAAAUCUAAUGUUGAUUGGCACCGUUAAUAAUUAAUUUUUUUUUUUUUUUAUAUAUAAAAAAAAUUAUAAAAGCUGGUACCAAUUGAGCGAAAGGGAAUCCGGUUCCUAUUCCGGAACCCGGCAGCGGAACCGUUCCAAGUCGAGCCCUCGCACGAAGACUCGUCGGGGUGACCCAAAAAGACUCGGAGACGCCGUUGGAAGAUUCGGGGAGAGUUGUCUCUUCUCUAUAAGCGUUCGAGUUCCCUGGAAUCCUCUAGCAGGGAGAUAGGGUUUGGAACGCGAAGAGCACCGCAGUUACGGCGGUGUCCGAAUUUUUCCUUCGGACCUUGAAAAUCCGAGAGAGGGCAACGAGGAACACCGCGCCGGAUCGUACCCAUAUCCGCAGCAGGUCUCCAAGGUGAAUAGCCUCUAGUCGACAGAAUAAUGUAGGUAAGGGAAGUCGGCAAGUUCGAUCCGUAACUUCGGGAUAAGGAUUGGCUCUGAGGAUCGUGGCGUGCCGGGCUUGGUCGGGAAGUGGAGAGGUGUCAACGAGCCGGGCCUGGGCGAGGUAGCGCAUCUUGAUGCUGCACAUCUGAGCUCGGUCCCGUGCCUUGGCCACCCACGGAUCUUCCUUGCUGUGGACAUUCAAUUGUCUAGUUCCUGGUCUUGACUAGGAAACGGGU